CACGUAGGGUGCGAGCGUUGUCCGGAAUUAUUGGGCGUAAAGAGCUCGUAGGCGGUGUGUCGCGUCGGCCGUGAAAACCUGCAGCUUAACUGUGGGCUUGCGGUCGAUACGGGCAUCACUGGAGUUCGGCAGGGGAGACUGGAAUUCCUGGUGUAGCGGUGAAAUGCGCAGAUAUCAGGAGGAACACCGGUGGCGAAGGCGGGUCUCUGGGCAUUAACUGACGCUGAGGAGCGAAAGCGUGGGGAGCGAACAGG
rnacentral:rRNA from 1 species